UUCAUUACUUACUGUGUGUGCAUGUGCACACACGUGUGGUGGAAUGUGUGCGUGUGUGUGUGUGGGAAGGUGGAAGUGGGAGCCGAGGAUGGAAUUACCAUUUACUGAGCAUCUAUUAUGAGCCUGGUAUGGUGCUAAGCAUUUUCCUUGUGCUACUCUAUUCAAUCCUCUUCAAUCCUCAGGGAUAUUGGCAUACUUUCUGAAAAGUUUUUAUGAGGAUGCACAGAUUAGUAAGACCUACAAGGUCAGCGGGAGUUUACGUGUAGGCCGAGAGAGACAACAAUACAAUCAACGUUCAGGUGUAACCAGGCAGAAGGGCAAAGGGAUAGUUAUGGCAGUGGGGGAAGCAGGCUGAGGGCACUUGAGAUAGGGUGGAACAUCUGCUCAGAUCAAGGUUUUUAGACACGUGUUUUUUGAGGAGGGAACCGGGGACUUCUUUACUUCAAAGUCUUCUGGUUACUAACUUUUUCCUUAAGCAGGAAAAGGCCCCAGGGAGACAGUCUCUCUAACAAGCAUGUCACCAGGGACCAUCAGCCACAGUCCCUAUCGCUUAGGCACAAGGCCCCAAGACUGCAAGUUGCCUCCAGGGCUAAGGUAUCUCCAAGGCCGACCUUCCACAGGGCUUACUGCCAUUCACUCAACACCGAUCUUUUCUGCUAAUGAACAAGCUGUCUCCAUGGACCUUUUUAUUUAAAACAUCACUCAAAGCUUCUAAAAUCAGUGUUAGAGCUGAAAAGGAACUCUGAAGACAACUCACCCAACCUCACCCUGACUGAACACACAGAGGUCCCGGGAGGUCCCAAGGAUGGAUAGUACUGUGAAUCACUUGCAAAGUCAGGACCAAGGACCAAUCCUCCAUACCAGGGGGCCAGGGAAACUAGGUUUAUUAAGGGCGUAACAGGUGCCAGAUACUUGACAUUUACUCUCAUUCAAUCCCAAGGCAGCAGUGGCCCCAUUUCAUAGAUGAUGAAACAGAUUCAGAAGUUAAGUAACUUGCCAAGUGGCCAAGUAUGUGACAAGGGCAAGAAUGAAACCAGUCCUGUUUAGCAACAACAUCACGCCCUCUUUACUGAAUCUUGAUGUCAAAAACGUCCAGACUUCAGUGCUCCUCAACCAAUCUUAAUCCAUCCCAUUUCACAUCUCCAUCAACCCAGUAUUCAAUUCAAAACACACGAGACCUAAGCCAUCUAACACAGACGGUGUCGGUUUUUGAGAAGCAUAUUGCUCAGGCUGCAGGGACAUUUCAUGUUUAAAUGUUUUUAUUUAAAAAAAAAAUUAAAGACCUUCAUGGCACAACUUC